GGGGAAUAUUGGACAAUGGGCGAAAGCCUGAUCCAGCAAUGCCGCGUGAGUGAUGAAGGCCUUAGGGUUGUAAAGCUCUUUUACCCGGGAUGAUAAUGACAGUACCGGGAGAAUAAGCCCCGGCUAACUCCGUGCCAGCAGCCGCGGUAAUACGGAGGGGGCUAGCGUUGUUCGGAAAUACUGGGCGUAAAGCGCACGUAGGCGGCCUGGCAAGUCAGGGGUGAAAUCCCGGAGCUCAACUCCGGAACUGCCCUUGAAACUGCCUCGCUGGAAUCUUGGAGAGGUCAGUGGAAUUCCGAGUGUAGAGGUGAAAUUCGUAGAUAUUCGGAAGAACACCAGUGGCGAAGGCGACUGACUGGACAAGUAUUGACGCUGAGGUGCGAAAGCGUGGGGAGCAAA
rnacentral:rRNA from 1 species